rnacentral:rRNA from 1 species
CCUACGGGUGGCAGCAGUGAGGAAUAUUGGUCAAUGGGCGUAAGCCUGAACCAGCCAAGUCGCGUGAGGGAUGAAGGUUCUAUGGAUCGUAAACCUCUUUUAUAAGGGAAUAAAGUGUGGGACGUGUCCUGUUUUGUAUGUACCUUAUGACUAAGGAUCGGCUAACUCCGUGCCAGCAGCCGCGGUAAUACGGAGGAUCCGAGCGUUAUCCGGAUUUAUUGGGUUUAAAGGGUGCUUAGGCGGCCUUUUAAGUCAGCGGUGAAAGUCUGUGGCUAAACCAUAGAAUUGCCGUUGAAACUGGGAGGCUUGAGUAUGUUUGAGGCAGGCGGAAUGCGUGGUGUAGAGGGGAAAUGCUUAGAUAGCACGCAGAACCCCGAUUGCGAAGGCAGCCUGCCAAGCCAUGACUGACGCUGAUGCACGAAAGCGUGGGGAUCAAACAGGAUUAGAUACCCCAGUAGUC